GCCAUGGAUGAGGAUCAAAAGGA
rnacentral:siRNA from 1 species